GUUCACAAACCAAAACUAAAUUCGAAACGCGCGCCGAACCGGACUAUUUCGCGGAGCAAUACAUGUGCAGUAGCUCCGCCCCCGUAGCCUUCCCAGCCUUCCCUUCAUUGCCAAGAAAAGUUGUCCUUGGGGGCGCUUUAGUUGUUUGACGGGUGCGCGCGGUUUGUGUGUGUGCCAUGCUGUGUUCUACAAUGCUUCGUUACCACGUUUAUCGAUUAUGCACGUUGGUUACGUGAUUCAAUAUCAAGUGUACCUUCCAAGACGAUCUAGGUCCUAGUCUCGUAACUGACGGCGAGUGCGGACGUACAGCAGCCUUUUGACAAGACUGUCGCCGAGUGUACGGUACAUUGUGGACUGUAAAGCUGAAGAGUGCGCAGUGGAUGCCUGAUUUUGGAACCGAGUGUGAUCGUCUGGGCGGUGUGUUCACUCUGCGGGGAUGAUGGCCAGAGGAAGGAUGAUAGACAGACGACAGCUUGCAGAAGAAGAUGGGGGCGUUCUACCUGUGAGCCUGGUCGAGUUUACAUUUUAUGGAUACACAUGCAUGGAUACACAUACAUGGAUUCCCUACAAGGACCCUGCGCAUCAAAAGCAAUCUGUCAUCAAUGUUAAGUAGACAGAUUAAACGAAACGAAGAUAUGACAGGUGUACACCAUAUUUUUCUUUCAUUUAACCUCUGCAUGUUUCCCAGUCAAUAAAU